rnacentral:misc_RNA from 1 species
GUGAAUCAUCGAAUCUUUGAACGCAAAUUGCACUCUCUGGUAUUCCGGAGGGUAUGCCUGUUUGAGGGUCAGUUUAAAUAAAAAUCGGUGUUGUUUCUUCCUUUCGUGGUGACGCACCGGAUUUGAGUCGUCUUGCCUUCGGUGAAGUGACCUAAAAUUUUGCAUGAUUUUUUUCUUACUUAUGGAAAUGAUUUUACGUACGUUUGCGAUAUCGAAUACUAGGUUUUGUCAUCCCGAUGAGUCGCGCCU